GUAGGACAGACAUGCAAUUUUUGUACUGCACAAAAGUACUGACUAUUUCUCAGCGCUUUUGUCCAGUGCAAGAAUGGCAAGAGCUGGUCCAUUUUUU
rnacentral:pre_miRNA from 18 species